CUUCUAACAGCCAGGCCCUUCUGCUGCAGGACUGCUGGAAGUCCACUCCAGACUCUGCUUGCCUGGGGAUCACCCGCGGGGGCUGCAUAACAGUAAGGGGCUCCUGGUUUCUCCUUCUGUUGUCUUCGUCCCAGAAGAGUACCUGCCAGAUGUCAGCCUGAGCCUUCCUUUAUGAAAUAUCGCUUUUGAUAUACAGGAGUCGGGGAGCUGCUUGAGGAGACAGUCUAUCCCUUAUAGGAGCUCAAGUGCUGUGCUGGGAGCUCCGUUAUUCCAUGCAGAGCUGCUGGGCAGGUACGUUUAAGUCUGCUGCAGCGGGACUUAUAAGUGCCUCUUUUCCGAGGUGCUCUGUCCUAGGAAGGUUGGGCUUUAUUUAUAAGUUCCUGAUGUGCUGCUGCUUUUUUUCAUAGAUGCCCUGUCCCACACAGAGAUAGUCUAGUCACAGUGUGCCAGCAGAGGUGUUGUUUUUAGAGGUACCAUUAGAACUGCCUUUGUAUUGGCAAACUGGCUCGGUAAUGGCAGAUGCCCUUCCCCCAACCAGGCUGGACCAUCCUGGGUCCAGCUGCACUUGCUGCGAAACUCUCAAUCCAGAGCAUUUCAGAUUGCUUGUUUUGUAGGGGUGGUACCUGCUGAGCCAGAUCACCUGGCUCCCUGUCUCGGCCCCCUCCCUCUCAGUUGAAUUGGUGGCUCUGUCUCCUAGGCUUUCCAGGCGCCAGUUGAAAUAACCGCCUGGAUUUGUGUGAGUUUCUGUGCACUGACCCGCGGCUCCGGCUGAAGCAGCCAUGCCGCAAACUUGUGACACUUUUCUGCCCGGGAAUGUCCUUGUCCGUGGGCAGUGAAAACUCAUUGGGAAAUGCUGUGAUCACUCACCCUCUUUGUUCUUGCUGGGAACUGCACUCCAGAGCUGUUCCUGUUCAGCCAUCUUUGAGUCAUUAUCUCUUGACCCGUGUUCAAAUUCACCAUUGUCUGUAAGCUGUUAAUCCCAUCUGAAUAAUUUAUUGCAGACUUUAUAUUUUUUCAAUUUUGGAAUUUCCAUAUGAUUGUUGUUAAAUACACUUUUUCUUUGUUGUGAUUUUCUACUUGUUUACUCUUUAGGAGCAUGUUUUUCUUUAAGAUGUUCUAAAGCUGCUCUGAAAUUCUCAUUUCUUAAUUCUGAUGUUUGGUCAUUUCAGGGCUAGUCUUCACUGAUGAUUUUCUUUCUUGGGUAUGGACCUUGUGUUUUGUUUCUUCAUAUGUUUAGAAAUUUGGAUCAUCUUCAUUUUUUUAAAGUGAUUCAUUGUAGAGAGGCAGGAUUCUGUUAUGUUCUUCUGAAGAGUACUGUUUUUUUGUUUGGUGCUGUUUUAACUGGUAGCUAACUUGACUGAAGUCAAACUCCAGAAUCUAUCUUUCUGGCAGUGGGGAGCUGCUGUGGUCUUUGUUCCAUUCUGUUAGUAGAUUUAGGUUUGGGCAUGAUAGGUUAGGUGUCAGAAUGAGAUCAUACACAGAUUCAACCCCUUCUGUGGCACCCUUCUUUCUAAGUUUCUGUUUCUCACUUUUCAGCUGCUGUGGUCACCCUAACCUCUGACGUCUGCUUCUUUGUGUCUGGGAGUCUGGGAGUUUUGUAUUUGAGUUUUACCAGCCAUGGCAGAACUUUAUACACUCACACAU